ensembl:lncRNA
AUGAGGAAACCAAGAGCCAGAGAGUUUAAAUGUCUUACCAAUCCUGUCACUUCCAGAGAUCUUCACCAGAAGCAGGUGCUGCAGCCAUGCGUCUUGUAUAGCCUGAAGAAUUAUGAACCAAAUAAACCUCUUUCCUUUAUAAAUUAUCCAGUCGUAGGUAUUUCUCUGCAGCAAUGCAAAAAUGAACUAACAUACCACUCUUGAAGCUGAGGACACAAAAUACUUUCAGUUGGGUUCACAAAGCACCGCCUACUGCUUCAGGCUGAACUGGAAUUUUCUACAUACUCAGCAACUGGGGUGCACUUCCUGAGGAGCCCCAAAUUCUACAAUUCUGCAAACUCUACAAAACUGCCUCCUCAGUUUCUCUAAGGGUGAUGACUGCAGCCCACGUCAUAAGCCCACACAAGGGCCAUGGUUCGGCAAAGCUCUUUUGAUAUUUCAUUUUAUUUUAGCUUGAGAUUCACUUUAGGAUAUUGGUUAUAUCCGUGUCUCAUUUUGUAGUUUAGAGACUUAGAGCUUAGAGAAGUGACUUGUCCAAGGUCACAGAAUUGAUCAGCAGCAGGGCCAGGAUGCAGACCCAGAUCUACUUGUCCCCACAGAUGCCACUCUUGGUCACCUUGAUAGGUGUCAGCUCCACCACUGAGGGCCUUGAGUCACUUGGAUGUGCCUUCCACUUCAGCUGAAUGAUGAGUAUCAACUUCAUAUAAGAGAAUAUCAUGUAUAUACUGCACAGGGGAUACCCACAUACCUUGGAUAUUACUUCGGUUGCCAUUAGAAAUCCCUGCCCAAGAAGGGAGAUUUCUCCUACUAUGAUUGCACUUUUGUUUAUUAUUCAGUGUUAGUUCUCUACAUAGAUAUUUACAUUAUCUUAAUUUCUCAACGUAUCCUCCACACAUUCCUACUCAUAAUCCAUUCUGUUCUUAACUUUCCCUUACUUCUGCCAAACCCUACUUUUUCACCAAAAUUUACAGACAUAAUGUCUCUCAAAGAGGAUGGAAUUCCUGGGUGAUCUUAACCUCUGUUGUACAUUUUACAAAUCAAUCUUUAUAACGUCCUUAAAUUAAUACAGGACCAUGUGGAGAUAGUGCUCAAAAGAGUUGCAGAGAAGAUGCAGUUGAAGGCAGAACUGUUCUUAAAACAAUUGAAUAAAAGUUACUGAAUUGCGUGAGAUAAAUAUAUAAUCAAAUAUAUAAUCAAAUACUAACCAAGAUUCUUGAUCAUGGUGACAUGCUGAUUACUUUAAUUUUCAUGAUUUCUAUUCUCUAUUCAGCCUAUUUACACUUCUUCUUGUCUGCCACUUAUUACGUAUUAGGUACACAAAGACUCCUAAAUGAUAAAGUCAUAAGUGGGUAAGGAGAAUUUUAUUUUUUUUUAAUUUUGAGAGGAAGUCUCACUCUGUCGCCCAGGCUGGAGUGCAGUGUGGUGUGAUCUCAGCUCACUGCAACAUCCACCUCCCGGGUUCAAGCAAUUCUCUGCCUCAGCCUCCCAUGUAGCUGGGAUUAUAGGCACUCACCACCAUACUGAGAUAAUUUUUGUAUUUUUAGUAAAGACGGGGUUUCAUCAUCUUGGCUGUGCUGGUCUUGAACUCCUGACCUCGUAAUCCACCUGCCUCAUCCUCCCAAAGUGCUAGGAUUACAAGCAUAAAUCAUCACGCCCAACUAGAGAAUUUUUUAUUAAAACAUUUUUUCUCACAUACAAAACCCAAACUUCUUGUUGAUUAACUGGUAGAGUCAGUGUGUGUGUGUGUGUGUGUGUGAAAAAGAG